GGCGGCAUAGCCAAGCGGUAAGGCAGAGGUCUGCAAAACCUCUAUACCUCGGUUCAAAUCCGAGUGCCGCCUCCA
rnacentral:tRNA from 1 species